rnacentral:rRNA from 1 species
CUGGCGGUUUGCUUACUACAUGAAGUCGAACGGGAUGCUUAGGCAUCUAGUGGCGGACGGGUGAGUAACGCGUGAGAAUCUGGCUCCAGGUCGGGGAUAACAGUUGGAAACGACUGCUAAUACCGGAUGUGCCGAGAGGUGAAAGAUUUAUUGCCUGGAGAUGAGCUCGCGUCUGAUUAGCUAGUUGGUGGUGUAAGGGACCACCAAGGCGUCGAUCAGUAGCUGGUCUGAGAGGAUGAUCAGCCACACUGGGACUGAGACACGGCCCAGACUCCUACGGGAGGCAGCAGUGGGGAAUUUUCCGCAAUGGGCGAAAGCCUGACGGAGCAAUACCGCGUGAGGGAGGAAGGCUCUUGGGUCGUAAACCUCUUUUCUCAAGGAAGAAGAAAGUGACGGUACUUGAGGAAUAAGCAUCGGCUAACUCCGUGCCAGCAGCCGCGGUAAUACGGAGGAUGCAAGCGUUAUCCGGAAUGAUUGGGCGUAAAGGGUCUGCAGGUGGAACUGAAAGUCUGCUGUUAAAGAGUUUGGCUUAACCAAAUAAAAGCGGUGGAAACUACAGAACUAGAGUGCGGUAGGGGCAAAAGGAAUUCCUGGUGUAGCGGUGAAAUGCGUAGAUAUCAGGAAGAACACCGGUGGCGAAAGCGUUUUGCUAGACCGUAACUGACACUGAGGGACGAAAGCUAGGGGAGCGAAUGGGAUUAGAUACCCCAGUAGUCCUAGCCGUAACGAUGGAUACUAGGCGUGGCUUGUAUCGACCCGAGCCGUGCCGGAGCUAACGCGUUAAGUAUCCCGCCUGGGGAGUACGCACGCAAGUGUGAAACUCAAAGGAAUUGACGGGGGCCCGCACAAGCGGUGGAGUAUGUGGUUUAAUUCGAUGCAACGCGAAGAACCUUACCAAGACUUGACAUCCUGCGAAUCCUGGUGAAAGCUGGGAGUGCCUUAGGGAGCGCAGAGACAGGUGGUGCAUGGCUGUCGUCAGCUCGUGUCGUGAGAUGUUGGGUUAAGUCCCGCAACGAGCGCAACCCUCGUUUUUAGUUGCCAGCAUUAAGUUGGGCACUCUAGAGAGACUGCCGGUGACAAACCGGAGGAAGGUGAGGAUGACGUCAAGUCAGCAUGCCCCUUACGUCUUGGGCUACACACGUACUACAAUGCUACGGACAGAGGGCAGCAAGCCAGGGAUGGCAAGCGAAUCCAGAAACCGUAGCUCAGUUCAGAUCGAAGGCUGCAACUCGCCUUCGUGAAGGAGGAAUCGCUAGUAAUUGCAGGUCAGCAUACUGCAGUGAAUUCGUUCCCGGGCCUUGUACACACCGCCCGUCACACCAUGGAAGUUGGUCACGCCCGAAGUCAUUACCCCAACCGAAAGGAGGGGGAUGCCUAAGGUAGGACUGGUGACUGGGGU